ensembl:lncRNA
AUGCGUGCGCGCACAUGUUUAAAUGAUGGAUGGGAAGGAAUGGGACGUUAUCACAGAGUGCAUGUAUCACUGCCUGCCAUUUUUACACAGGCCUGUGACAGGACAGUGAGAUGCAGAACAUGGGCCGCAGCCUUCAAGAUGAGCAGAUCUUCAUUUCCUGUUCAGAGCAGGAUCAUACACAAGCAAUAUGUGACCAAUAGUGACUGAUUCAGAGCAAGAGCAUCCCGGCUUGCAUUUUUGACAGGGUGGCAGGGAAACCAAGAUCCAGGUCGAAGAUGCGGCUGAAGAACAAUAGCUGUGGAUGCUUUCACACUGAUUCUAAUUAUCAGGGCAGCGCUCUGACUCUGUCGCCGUCAGCCCUCGCUUCUCCAUUAAUCUUGUGCUGUCGCCCACCUCACUAAACCCAGUGCUGUUACACUAUCUCUGCUUUACUUCUUCUGCGGAGCCUGUGUUAGGCUGUAAUUAAUGAAUCCCCCCUCCCCUCGUGCUAGGUCUGCUGCUUCUAAUCACGACGAGAGUUGUGCCAUGAAAAGUGUUGAUGGGAAGGGGGGUCAGCAUGACAGUAAAUAUGUAUAACUAAACAAAGAAAAACUGCCAAUUUAAAACAAAAUCCUGUUGUUUUCACAUAAUUUAUUCCAGAUAUUCAAUAAUGACUUGUAAUGAAAUGAAAACCAUUAUCAGCCUUUUGUGUCGCUAAGUUCAUUUUCUUUUGUUUUUAACAAAAAUUUCAGGCCAUGAACUGACUUGCACUACUGCCUCCUUACACAACAUUUUCAUUGCAUUACUGCUAUUACUAUUAUUAUCAAUAUUGUUAACAAUUUUUAACAAUAAUAAUAAUGAAACUUUUUUGUUACUUCAUUGUAGGUGCCUACACUUUCAACAUAAUUAUCCAGGCAGUGUUGAGCUUACUUACUGAAGAGGAAAUUAAUUGGAAAAUUACCUAAAAUCUAUAAAUAUAUAUUUAAAAAUGAUGAAAAUAAAUGUAUAAUAAUAAUAAUAAUAAUAAUAAUA